rnacentral:rRNA from 1 species
GACGAACCGGACAAACGUUAUUCGGAAUUACCGGGCUUAAAGGGUUUGUAGGCGGCCUUGUAAGUCAGGUGUGAAAUCCCUCGGCUCAACCGAGGAAUGGCGCUUGAUACUGCACGGCUUGAGGGAGACAGGGGUAAGCGGAACUGAUGGUGGAGCGGUGAAAUGCGUUGAUAUCAUCAGGAACACCGGUGGCGAAGGCAGGUCUCUGGGCAUUAACUGACGCUGAGGAGCGAAAGCAUGGGGAGCGAACAGG